rnacentral:rRNA from 1 species
UACGUAGGGUGCGAGCGUUGUCCGGAAUUAUUGGGCGUAAAGAGCUUGUAGGUGGUUUGUCGCGUCUGCUGUGAAAACCCAGGGCUUAACCCUGGGCUUGCAGUGGAUACGGGCAGACUAGAGGCAGGUAGGGGAGAAUGGAAUUCCCGGUGUAGCGGUGAAAUGCGCAGAUAUCGGGAGGAACACCGGUGGCGAAGGCGGUUCUCUGGGCCUGACCUGACGCUGAGAGACGAAAGCUAGGGGAGCGAAUGGG